GUCUCCAGGUGAGCAGGCUCUGGUGGAGAGCCAGGGCUCUCAGGGGUGGUCCUAGGGGGAGGAGCAUCAGCACCCCGGGGCCCUGCUGGGAAAGCCAGCUCUGGGCUCUGCUGAGACCUCCUGAAUCAGAACCUCAGGGUGGGCCUGGCCAUCGGAGUUUUAACAAGGCCUCCAAAACAUUCUGACACUCACCAGAGUCUGAGAGACACAGCAGAGCUAGAAUCCGGGCUCCAGUUUUCACCCAGGAGACAGGAGGAUUCUGGGUGGAAGGGCAGGAGGGACUGGGGUCCCCCCUAGAAGGAGCGCCCCAGGAGGACGCCACACAGGUGGACAUUCGCUCCUCCUGGGAAUGGUCUCUAAGGGUUGCUUGGACAGGAAAGUGGCUCUCUGAGCUGCCUUAGCGUUGGAGAUGCUGGGGGUGAGUGCCCCAGGAGCAGGCCUGCACUGGUGACUGAGAGGCAGGAAAUAAACACCCCAGCUUCCCCUUGUGUCUGGGUGACUCUGAGGGGCGUCCCGUACACAGAUCCCAGGCUGCUCAGCAGGAUCGAGUUGGGAAGGGGGUUCCAGGACAGGAAACAGCAUGACUAGAGGUGGAAGAACCUUGGCCUAUGCAAGGCACUGUGUGUAAUUCCAUCGGGCUGCAGUGUAAGCUUGCAGAGAGGAGGAGGGAGAGUGGAGUGAGAUGGAAAGUGACUGAUGAAAUAGAGUCUUCCGAGAUGGAAAUGCUUGCAAGGAAGGAAGAGCCACUUUCUAUCUUCUGCCAUCAGAAGCACAGAAGGGUGAAGCCAGGCACACCCAGAGAAGCAUCUCAUGUUGUCUGUGGCUGCUGCAGCGCUCUCCUGGGCCCUGGGGCAGGAGAUGCUCAAAGGUCAACAGGACUUGGGAAGGCAGCUGUGAGUAAAGCCCCCAGUCCUGGUCCUGGACUCACUGCACCAGGGACCCCAAGGGGCUAAACAUGACUGGAUUGUAGCAAGCCUUUUCCAACAUGCAAAGAAGCAACCAGGAAGAAUGUCUAAUUACAGAUGUGCUAUUUCUCUGCUCUUUCUUCUUCAACUUUCUCAUCACCCUCAGUGACAUCACAGCAGCUUCCCCUUGUCCUGUGACAAACCCAGAGCAAGGUGCUUUGGGUGGUAGUCAGAGUGACAUGGGAGACCCUGAGUUCCACGUGUCUAAGCCCAUAUUUCCCUCCUUCCUCCCUAGUUCAAGGAGGUAACCAGGCGUGGCGACUCCUCCUGGCAGGCACGUUCACAGGACAGAGGCGGGAGCUACUUGAGAAAGAUUUAGCUCAUUGGAGCGAGGGGCGGGGCAGAGAGGGAAAGAGAUGGAGGAGAAGUUUAUUGAAGAAUGGAAAGGUGCAAUGUUCCCCAGGUCCUAGAGAUGCACUGCACUGCAGAGGGUGGCUGUGAGGUCCCACACCUGCAAGCGGGAGUCACUGGAUUCUGCUGGUGGCUGACCUGCUGACCAGAGAUGUGAGCCCAGUUUCCUCUUCUGUGAAAUCAGGCGUAGCCCAGUGGCUUUCAAUCCUGGCUAUAUGUUAGUGACAUGGGAAGGUUUAAAGAUUCCUGAUGGCCAAGCUGGACCCCAAAUCUAUCAGAUCAGAUCAUCUGGGUAGAACACAGAAGCACCAGAGUGGAUAAGGUCCCUCAGGUGACUCAAAUGUGCAGCCAACAUGGAGAGCACUGACCUAAGCUAAGUCCUGUUUACAAGAAUUUUGAGACCAUGAAAUGCUUAGAGCAGGCAGGGCCCUAAGAAAUCAGCUGACCCAACUUCUGCCAUUCACAGGGGAGGAAACUGGUUUUCAGAGAGGCCAAAUCAUUUACCCAAGGACACACAGCAAAUGAGCGACAGAGCCAUUUCCAGUGUUCCCUCCGCCUCUCAACGUCCGAAUAUGACUAAUCUGAAGCUCUCAAUUUCACAAGAGAGCUGGGCCUGAGAGACCCACAUGGAAUCCCUGAUUUUCAGGAUAGGAUCCUAGGCCUCUUGGUGGUUCAGCAGGCCAUCCUGUUGCAGUGACCCUGAGGUCCCUCCUUGGAGAAAAAUUCCAGGAGGCUUGAAAUGUUCUCCAAGGCGUAGAAAAGGAUGAUGUGCCUGGAAACUGAAAAAGACUGGGAAAUAGAUGACAAUUUGGGUUUUGUGGCUUCUUUCCCAAAAUAAACAUGGCAGAAUUGCUUCUCACUGAAA